UAAAAACUGGUUGCUUGAUUAAUUAGCUAACUACAUUGCUUGAAAAAUAUAUUAAAUGUUCGAACAAAGAGAAUAUAUGUCUUCCAUGUAGAAGUACAUAAUAAGAUAAAAUUUCCAUAUUAAAAGACAUUAGUAGUCAUAGAUAUGGGUUAUAUGAAAGUGGAUUAGAGUUGUUAAUUCAGCUUCAAAUCAUUCUGCCCCUAGUAAGAGCAAAAUUGAAGUACAGCACCAGAGUUUGAGAGAGAUCAAAGAAAACUAAGAGUACCACAACAUAAUUAUUAAUUAGUAUGGAGAGACACCAACAUUAGCUGAAGCAAAGAAUCCAUCCUUCAUCAGAACAUCUUCUCCUUCCUACACACAGCCAAAAACAAUCUAAUUUUUGCUUUUCUUUUCUACCUAAAGGAAGGGGAUGAGGUGGUGGUUGGUGGUCGUGGAGGUGUGCUUAGUUUACCUGCUGGCGCACGUUAGUCUUCUUCACAGUCUGAUCUGGCAUGAGACCAAAGUGGAUGUGGGGAAAGUGGGCCCACUGACAUAAUAAAAACAAAAUACGAUCAGAGAAAUUAAGGACCGCGCACAGACUUAACUUAUAUUUUGAAAUUCAAAAAAAGAGAAACCCUAAUUUGGUAAAGUAACUAGAAACCCUAAAUAAUUUUCUUGGAUCUCACAUUCUUAGCAGCUGCACUAAAGGCUUCUCUGUGGCUUAUAUCAGGAUUU
rnacentral:misc_RNA from 1 species